rnacentral:rRNA from 1 species
GACGAACGCUGGCGGCGUGCCUAAUACAUGCAAGUCUAACGCAGUGGGGACGGGUGAGUAACACGUGGGUAACCUCCCAUCAGAGGGGAUAACACUUGGAAAAAGGUGCUAAACCGAUACUGAUGGAUGGAACCGCGGUGCAUUAGCUCGUUGGGGAGGUAACGGCUCACCAAGGCCACGAUGCAUAGCCGACCCGGGAGGUUGAUCGGCCAAACUGGGACGGAGACACGGCCCAUACUCCUACGGGAGGCAGCAGUAGGGAAUUUUCGGCAAUGGACGAAAGUCUGACCGAGCAACGCCGCGUGAGUGAAGAAGGUUUUCGGAUCGUAAAACUCUGUUGUUAGAGAAGCGGUAUCUAACCAGAAAGCCACGGCUAACUACGUGCCAGCAGCCGCGGUAAUUC